rnacentral:rRNA from 1 species
UAGGGAAUCUUCCGCAAUGGGCGAAAGCCUGACGGAGCAAUGCCGCGUGAGUGACGAAGGUUUUCGGAUCGUAAAGCUCUGUUGCCAGGGAAGAACGCUUGGGAGAGUAACUGCUCUCAAGGUGACGGUACCUGAGAAGAAAGCCCCGGCUAACUACGUG